UACGUAGGGUGCAGGCGUUAAUCGGAAUUACUGGGCGUAAAGCGUGCGCAGGCGGUUUGCUAAGACAGGUGUGAAAUCCCCGGGCUUAACCUGGGAACUGCGCUUGUUACUGGCAGGCUUGAGUGUGGCAGAGGGGGGUGGAAUUCCACGUGUAGCAGUGAAAUGCGUAGAGAUGUGGAGGAAUACCGAUGGCGAAGGCAGCCCCCUGGGCUAACACUGACGCUCAUGCACGAAAGCUAGGGGAGCAAACAGG
rnacentral:rRNA from 1 species